UACGGAGGAUGCGAGCGUUAUCCGGAUUUAUUGGGUUUAAAGGGUGCGUAGGCGGCUUUUUAAGUCAACGGUGAAAUUUUGCAGCUUAACUGUAACAGUGCCGUUGAUACUGGGGAGCUAGGAUUUGGUUGCUGUGGGUGGAAUGUGUGGUGUAGCGGUGAAAUGCUUAGAGAUCACACAGAAUAUCGAUUGCGAAGGCAGCUCACAAAGCCAAGAUUGACGCUGAGGCACGAAAGUGUGGGGAUCAAACAGGAUUAGA
rnacentral:rRNA from 1 species